GACAAACGCUGGCGGCGUGCUUAACACAUGCAAGUCGAGGAGAAUGGGAAUCUUCGGAAUCCCUAGUAAACUGGCGAAUGGGUGAGUAACGCGUAGGCAAUCUGCCCUGAAGUGUGGAAUAACCUACCGAAAGGUGGGCUAAUACCGCAUAAAAUUCCGACAUCGCAUGGUGUUGGAAUCAAAGAUUUAUCGCUUCAGGAUGAGCCUGCGUCCUAUCAGCUAGUUGGUAGGGUAACGGCCUACCAAGGCUACGAUGGGUAGCUGGUCUGAGAGGAUGAUCAGCCACACUGGCACUGAGACACGGGCCAGACUCCUACGGGAGGCUG
rnacentral:rRNA from 1 species